rnacentral:rRNA from 1 species
UGGGGAAUUUUGCACAAUGGGGUAAACCCUGAUGCAGCUACGCCGCGUGAUUUAGAAGGCCUUCGGGUUGUAAAAAUCUUUUCUAUGGGAAGAAAAUGACAGUAUCAUAGGAAUAAGGACCGGCUAAUUACGUGCCAGCAGCCGCGGUAAUACGUAAGGUCCGAGCGUUGUCCGGAAUCAUUGGGAGUAAAGGGUACGUAGGCGGGUAAGCAAGUUAGAAGUGAAAUCCUAUAGCUCAACUAUAGUAAGCUUUUAAAACUGCUCAUCUUGAGGUAUGGAAGGGAAAGUGGAACUCCUAGUGUAGCGGUGAAAUGCGCAGAUAUUAGGAGGAAUACCGGUGGCGAAGGCGACUUUCUGGCCAUAACCUGACGCUGAGGUACGAAAGCGUGGGUAGCAAACAGG